rnacentral:misc_RNA from 1 species
UGAUGGAUGAAUCCCCCCUCGUUGUAUUCGUCGAAGAACACCAGCUAUAUCCAAAUAACCUUCUUUAGAGAAUGCAGCUUUCCAUCUUCUUUCACUAAGAGUUUUUCCUACCCUUGCUUUGAAUCGGGUCUUGGGAACAUCAGCUAGGCAUUCAGGCCUAACAGGAUAGUAACUGUCUAGCUCCUCUGAAGAAGAAUUCUUCAUAGCACGAACACCAUCAUUCUUGAAAUCAAGGGAUGACUUAGAAUUACCCAUGUCUUUGUUCAACAAAAUAAGAAAUUACAAAACUAAAGAUCGCUAAGAUUUCAACAUAGAAAGAUAAAUAAUAG